CAAAAAUCCCCGCACCUAGCACCCCUCCCUCAUCCGUCGGUUGCUCCUAUGCGUGGGUCGUCGCCCGCGCGCUCCUCACCCCCGCCGCCGCCGCUCACUCUUCCGCUCGAUGCCCGCGGGUCCCCGUGUUCCCUCCCCGCAGCCGGCGCCGCUCGCUCCACCAGACGCUCGGCGCCCACGCGGCGCUGCCACCGCACGCAUCGGCAAGGUUUCUGCGGCGGAGACGCAGAAGAAGGAUGAUGGGGUGGGACCGUUGCCGCCGAUCAGCGUAGCUCACGGCAGGCUCUUGCUAUUCGGACUAGGCUUCCUCUCUCUGUCUCUCUAUGCACCUUCUCCCCUCUAUUCUCUCAUGUCUCUCUCAGUCUGGAGCAUGGCGUUCGCGGUGGUGCAGACAUAAGGACGUGCAGCGUGCGGCGACGGCAUGCCCACCACGCCCUUUGCACCCAAUCUCUCUUUCUAACCUCUCAGUGCAUCAGCAGGUUUGAGAAGAGACUCUAGAUCGAGAAGGUCACAUGAGCUUGCUGGCAUCAUAACUUUUUGAACUGAUUUUUUUGUCCCAAAAGCUCAGGUGAUUUCUUCCCUAUAAAAUAACAUGGCACACCAAUUUUAUCGACUUCGCAUUCAUGAAAAUUUAUGUAUAUGACAAUCGUUUGUGUUUGCUUCAAGACGUACGCUCUGAUGUAUCCAAUCCCUAUUAACAUCCAUAAAUAGAGAUUGAAAUAAUGCCAUGAUAGUCAAGUAUAAGAUUAGCUCAAUAAUCUCCAAUUAGUCUUUUUCCUUGUUGUCCAGGUCUUCAUGAGCAAAUAAUCUUUCAACAAUUAAUGGAUGGAUGCGGGAACACGGGUUGGAUUACCCUGCAAAACUGAAAUAGUUUCCUGAUUAUAAACUUUACAACUUUCAGAACUGAGACACAUGUAGGCUUAGUAUUUGUAUUAUUGCUUCAUCAUCCUUCGCGGGGAAUGCAAUGCCUGGAACCCUUCAAUGCACUCCAUGCCUAGACUGCACUACCCCAAUGCUGUCAUGAUGGCCGCCACACUCAUCACGCGGGCACAAUGGCCUGGGGCAUGUCGCUACGCCUAGACUGAAUUCAACGAAGUAUCUUCAGCGUUUCAGGUUUGGUAUUCCUACUUUUAUGAUAUACGUAAUGCUUGAGGACGGAUCCAUGUUGUGUCAGAUUAUGAAGUAUUUUUCUAAACUGUCCAAGCAAUUACGGAUGAUGCCAUGAUCUAUGUUCCUGCUUGAUACCCAACUAUGAAUCAAUCACCUUGUAUGCUCUUUUUUAUGUUCUUCAUGCAUGUGCUAUCUGCUAUCUCCCAUGUUCUGGAGCGAAAUGUUGAAAGAAGGGACACUAAUGGAUAGUGGUCUAGCUACACUGGGGAGCAGUGGGCUUUACUGCCCUCUUCUUGCUUUGCUCUUUCAAACUAGGUCCAAGGAGAUUCCUUCACCACAACCAAGAAGAACUUCACUAAGGAAUGAAUCGAUCAAGCAAUUGACUGUUCGGUAGUGUUUCUUGUUGUUGCAGAUGUGGAGUACAUGGGCAUGGAAUUCCAUUUGAUUCAGCUGCCAAUUACUUCAUUUAGAAGCAGCCUUUUCAAAUUUUAGUGAAUUUGUGGAGGUUGAGUUGCUUCAUUUCUGGCCUAACAUAUUUAUUCUAUGUUCUAGAUUUUGGACAACAAUAAUCAGAGGUCAUCUUUUAUUGGAUUACAAUGCUUUGCUGAUCUUAUUUUUGCCAAAGAGUUUCUAUACCUUCUCUGUGUGAUUCCUUUCUUCGGAGUAUAUAUUACCAUGUUUGCUGAGCGUGCCUUGCUCCUCAAAAUCCUAUAUGUAUUCGAUCCUUCGCCAGGGGUUGGUCUUGGUCAGUUGCGAUGAAGCAUGCGAAGGCUACAGGUGAGGUGGUGGAGAAGGAAGCUGUCGUUGUGGAGGCUGUUGCACCAGCAACACUAGAUGGCAUUCAAGGGAAGAGGAGAUGCGCCUGGGUGACUCUGAGCACCGUCUGCUCAGAUAAGCUGGACAUUUUGUUAGCUCUUUAGCCUUCCUCCAAAAGAAUUUCUUGUUAAGGAUUUCAGCUGCCACCUAAGAAGAAAAAUGCUGCUCCAGGAAAGGAAAAGAAAGAUACGGAAAUUUUCUGAUGUAUCCGUGGCAUUCACAAUUUUGAAGAACAUCCAGUAGCAACUCGGGAAUAAUGAGAAUGAUCAUCCCUGCCUUUGUAGGGAAACAUGCUUAGGUACUAUCUAUGUUCAUCAAAACAAUACAAAGCAAGUUGUCUGAAACGUCUUAUAAAAACAAAUGGAGGGAGUACAUUGCAAAGUAGAUUAUCUAAACUCU